rnacentral:rRNA from 1 species
UACGUAGGGUGCAAGCGUUAUCCGGAAUUAUUGGGCGUAAAGAGCUCGUAGGCGGUUUGUCGCGUCUGCUGUGAAAACUGGAGGCUCAACCUCCAGCCUGCAGUGGGUACGGGCAAACUAGAGUGCGGUAGGGGAGAUUGGAAUUCCUGGUGUAGCGGUGGAAUGCGCAGAUAUCAGGAGGAACACCUAUUGCGAAGGCAGCUCGCUGGGACGUAACUGACGCUGAGACGCGAAAGCGUGGGGAGCAAACAGG